CGGGGCGUAGCGCAGCCCGGUAGCGCACCUGCUUUGGGAGCAGGAUGUCGGAGGUUCAAAUCCUCUCGCCCCGACGA
rnacentral:tRNA from 3 species